rnacentral:rRNA from 1 species
GAUGAACGCUGGCGGCGUGCCUAAUACAUGCAAGUCGAACGCAUUGUGGUUGAAAUGAUAUGAAGAACUUGUUCAGAUUUGAUUUUCAACAUUGCAAUGAGUGGCGAACAGGUGAGUAACACGUGGGAAACCUACCUCUUAGCAGGGGAUAACAUUUGGAAACAAAUGCUAAUACCGUAUAAUAAUUAAAACCGCAUGGUUUUAGUUUAAAAGAUGGUCUUGCUAUCACUAAGAGAUGGUCCCGCGGUGUAUUAGUUAGUUGGUGAGGUAAUGGCUCACCAAGACAAUGAUACAUAGCCGAGUUGAGAGACUGACCGGCCACAAUGGGACUGAGACACGGCCCAUACUCCUACGGGAGGCAGCAGUAGGGAAUCUUCCACAAUGGACGAAAGUCUGAUGGAGCAACGCCGACGUGUGUGAUGAAGGGUUUCGGCUCGUAAACACUGUUGUAAGAGAAGAAUGACAUUGAGAGUAACUGUUCAAUGUGUGACGG